UCAGUUUUAUUUCUUUCUCUCUCUUCUUCUCGUUUUCUCUCUCUUCCUGCAAUUCCUCUCGACCGACUUCAUCUUCUUCAUGUCUUCAAUUUUCGUUGUUCUUGCAAUUGCUUAACCUUCUUGCGAUUUUAUCUCUCUCAAGUCUCGCAGGUUCCCAUGCGUGCUUCCAUCUGGUCUUGUUCGGCAGACAAAGUGCUGGAUUAUUCUGCCUUUUCUGUUCUAUCUUUUUGUCGCAACCAUCACUUGCCUCAAGUGCAUGCCAUUAAUAUAUUUGUGAAUCCCUGUUGUUCGCUAUAUAUGUUCUAGUAUUCUGUAUUUAUUAUGUACAAUAUACGAGCUUGUAGAAUAACCACCAUCUGAUGUCUCUACUACAAAAUAACCAUCGCCCUUUGAGGUUAUCACAGGAGGGCAUGGAAGAUUGGCAGCCAUGAUGUAGAUAGAAAGAGGAGAAAUCUAGAUCAAUAAAAUUAUGCUAUGGCAAGAGUUGACUUGCGUUGACUUCGUUAAACUAGAUCAAUAAAAUUAUGAUAUGGCAAGAGUUGACUUGCGUUGACUUCAUUAAACUAGGUGUUUAUUGGCUUGCAGUUUAUUUCUAGGGUGAUGCUGUUAUUUUUGCUUGACUUCCCAAUUAAAUGGUCUGAUUUGUUUUCGUUUGGUGCUUCAGGCCUGCUUAGUUAUGUUGGGGAUUACAGUAUUGUUCAGAUUCUCCUCUGUUGCUGCUGUUAAAAUUUUGAUAGGCUUCAGGGUUAUUGUUGAGUAGAUCAAUCGUUUGCUACUAUUUUGUUGCUGCAGUCCUAUAUAUUAUCCUCUGGUGUUAUUUACUUUUUGUUUAAAAACCUUUACUUUGAAUUAUUUCGAUGGUAAGGUAACACUA